CUGGAUUGGAACAGGACCAAG
rnacentral:snRNA from 1 species